UACGUAGGGUGCAAGCGUUGCUCGGAAUCACUGGGCGUAAAGGGUGCGUAGGCGGGUCUUUAAGUCAGGGGUGAAAUCCUGGAGCUCAACUCCAGAACUGCCUUUGAUACUGAGGAUCUUGAGUUCGGGAGAGGUGAGUGGAACUGCGAGUGUAGAGGUGAAAUUCGUAGAUAUUCGCAAGAACACCAGUGGCGAAGGCGGCUCACUGGCCCGAUACUGACGCUGAGGUGCGAAAGCGUGGGGAGCAAACAGG
rnacentral:rRNA from 1 species